CCAGCACGUAAUGGUGGGAACUCAUGGGAUACUGCCGGGGUCAACUCGGAGGAAGGUGGGGAUGACGUCAAAUCAUCAUGCCCCUUAUGUCUUGGGCUUCACGCAUGCUACAAUGGCCGGUACAAAGGGCUGCAAUACCGCGAGGUGGAGCGAAUCCCAAAAAGCCGGUCCCAGUUCGGAUUGAGGUCUGCAACUCGACCUCAUGAAGUCGGAGUCGCUAGUAAUCGCAGAUCAGCAACGCUGCGGUGAAUACGUUCCCGGGUCUUGUACACACCGCCCGUCAAGUCAUGAAAGUCGGUAACACCUGAAGCCGGUGGCCUAAC
rnacentral:rRNA from 1 species